UAAAAUAUAGUAAAUAAAAGAAUUAAUAGUUGGAGGUUUUUAUGUUAAAUGACUAAUUUGAUUUUCACUACUGUGGUUGAAAUAGGAAAUAUGAAGUGUUUAACUUUUUGAGUGUCUGACAAACUCUUUACAUAGUCUUGCUAUGUAUCACACAAUAUUACAUAGUACUGCAUGGUAUUUGAGGGUGCUACUUUAUCUAAGGCUUCAUUCUUUUACUGAAAGUCUCUUUGUCUAAUAAUAAAAUACACAGGCAAGUGCACAUCCCAUUUUUUCUGUUUUGACACAUAUUAGGUUCAAUUAUGGAUCAUUGGAGUAGGUUGGUUAAGAAUAACUAACAGUUUUUAUAUGCUUAUAUCUUUUUAUCAGAGAGACCUGUUAUUAGAAGAAUUAUAUUACAAUGAGGGGCUUCCCUGAUAGCUCAGUUGGUAAAGAAUUCACCUGCAAUGCAGGAGACCCCAGUUCGAUUCCUAGGUGGGGAAGAUGCCCUGGAGAAGGGAUAGGUUACCCACUCCAGUAUUCUUGGGCUUCUCUUAUGGCUCAGCUGGUAAAGAAUCCACCUGCACUGCUGGAGACCUGGGUUCAAUCCCUGGAUUGGGAAGAUCCCCUGGAGAAGGGAAAGGCUACUGACUCCAGUAUUCUGGCCUGGAGAAUUACAUGGACUGUAUAGGCCAUGGGGUCACAAAGAGUUGGACGCGACUGAGAGACUUCCACUCACUCAUAUUACAAUGAAAGUCAAAGCAAACGAUAACAAAUAGAGAGGGACCAAAACAGUAUUAAAUUUUAUAGAAAUAUGCAGACAAAACACGUGUAUACCUGUGGCGGAUUCAUUUUGAUAUUUGGCAAAACUAAUACAAUUAUGUAAAGUUUAAAAAUAAAAUAAAAUUAAAAAAAUAAAAAUAAAAAAUAACACACACACACAAAAUUUUAUGGAAAAUAGAUAUUAUUUGUAUGUAGUAAAUAGGAUCAUAAAACAGAAGAGGAAGUCCAAAUCCCAUAAAAACCUUUAACAAUUUCUUGACAUAUCAAUGUCAAAGGUAAUGAAGAAUUAAAGUGCAUUGUGGAGUUGAAAAUAGGGUGUAUAUGGAAACAAGAUUUAUGAUUCUUUUCCAGUAUGAAUUUUUCUGCCAUAUAGUUUUAAUAAUCUAAGAACUUGGUCAUCAAAGUAACAAAAG
ensembl:lncRNA